GACGAACGCUGGCGGCGUGCCUAAUACAUGCAAGUAGAACGCUGAAGGAGGAGCUUGCUUCUCCGGAUGAGUUGCGAACGGGUGAGUAACGCGUAGGUAACCUGCCUGGUAGCGGGGGAUAACUAUUGGAAACGAUAGCUAAUACCGCAUAACAGUAGAUGUUGCAUGACAUUUGCUUAAAAGGUGCAAUUGCAUCACUACCAGAUGGACCUGCGUUGUAUUAGCUAGUUGGUGAGGUAAAGGCACACCAAGGCGACGAUACAUAGCCGACCGGAGAGGGGGAUCGGCCCAACGGGGACUGGGACACGGCCCAGACUCCUACGGGAGGCAGCAGUAGGGAAUCUUCGGCAAUGGACGGAAGUCUGACCGAGCAACGCCGCGUGAGUGAAGAAGGUUUUCGGAUCGUAAAGCUCUGUUGUAAGAGAAGAACGAGUGUGAGAGUGGAAAGUUCACAAUGUGACGGUAUCUUACCAGAAAGGGACGGCUAACUACGUG
rnacentral:rRNA from 1 species